AUUGAACGCUGGCGGCAUGCCUUACACAUGCAAGUCGAACGGUAACAGGUCUUCGGAUGCUGACGAGUGGCGAACGGGUGAGUAAUACAUCGGAACGUGCCCGAUCGUGGGGGGUAACGAGGCGAAAGCUUUGCUAAUACCGCAGACGAUCUACGUAUGAAAGCGGGGGAUCUUCGGACCUCGCGCGGACGGAGCGGCCGAUGGCAGAUUAGGUAGUUGGUGGGAUAAAAGCUUACCAAGCCGACGAUCUGUAGCUGGUCUGAGAGGAUGAUCAGCCACACUGGGACUGAGACACGGCCCAGACUCCUACGGGAGGCAGCAGUGGGGAAUUUUGGACAAAGGGCGAAAGCCUGAUCCAGCCAUGCCGCGUGCAGGAUGAAGGCCUUCGGGUUGUAAACUGCUUUUGUACGGAACGAAAAGCCUCUUUCUAAUAAAGAGGGGUCAUGACGGUACCGUAAGAAUAAGCACCGGCUAACUACGUG
rnacentral:rRNA from 1 species